rnacentral:lncRNA from 1 species
UUUCAAAACGAAUACACCGAAUAUUCGAAUUGAUAUCCUUCAAAUUUUACCGCAUAUCCUUAUAAGCCUUUGUGACUUCAACCUUCCUUAAUAGCAAUCGGAGUCUGAUCCCUACGUUUCACCGGAGAUUUACCGACGCACCACCGCAGCCAGUCGAGGCUAUAACCACAAUGUCGCACCACCACUUUCAUAGUCGCCAUCAUACCACGCAACAUCGGAGUUCCUGAGCAGUUACCUUUCACGAACUAGGUAGCCAUCGGAUUCAGGUGACGUGCUUCUUUCGUUACCAUCGACCCCACCAUCACUUCCGUCACUCGUGUUCUCUGAUUCACGAACAGCCGCGGCGACCCCCUUCUGGUUCGAUUAACUGCCGCCCUAACGAAAUUUCUGAUUAAUAGCCAUGAGUUCGACCUCCGCAUCCAUCAUUCAGGUUGCCUUAUAACAACUUCAAGUCAGACAUUAUAAUGUUUUGUCAAGUAAUAUGGGAUGAUCUGGGAUUUCAGUGAGGAGCGUUAGGAAGUCGCUGGUCAAGAUUCUUUAUUUCAGUAAUGUAAUAAAUGUAAUUAAGGGUUUUCUAUUUAAUGCUAUGGAUUAGCUUUUAGUUUUGAUAUCUGUAAGAGUGACACGUCAGCCCUAGCGGGGUUGGGGUGUUACAGUAAGCCUAUAAACUGGUUGUCUUGGCUCGUUUUUUAUGUGGAAAUGCUAUCUUAAGGGAUUAGUCCCACUCACAUUAUUCUUCUUGAAGUGAUUUGAGAAAGUGUAAGACUAAUAGUAAUUUUUCAAACUCAGGGUCGAAAAAGGAGAACGUUACAUAAAUCUAUGGCAAUAGGUACUUCAAGCAUCAAAAUCAGCCUUUCUGAACCCGAACAUACCGAAAUUGAAGCCAUGGAUGCGGUGAUUAAUCUUGCACUAAACCAAUGGUUCAUGUUUACAAUAGGUGCAUAACUACUAUUUGAUGUAAAACGUUGUUCAACAUUCAGACUUUAUUGUUUUGAACAAAUCUAAAGCCUUAUUUAUUGAAAUUUUGCUACAAUUCUAAUAUAACAAUACACAACAAAACAAAUUGGUCCAGAUUUACAAU